GAUAAACGCUGGCGGCGCACAUAAGACAUGCAAGUUGAACGGACUUAAUCGAAAUAUUUAUAUUUUGAAGCGGUUAGUGGCGGACUGGUGAGUAACGCGUAAGGAACCUGCCUAUUAGAGGGGAAUAACAGUGAGAAAUCAUUGCUAAUACCGCAUAUGCCAUAGAUAUCACAUGAUAACAGUGGGAAAGGAGCAAUCCGCUAAUAGAUGGCCUUGCGUCUGAUUAGAUAGUUGGUGGGGUAACGGCCUACCAAGUCGACGAUCAGUAGCCGGACUGAGAGGUUGAACGGCCACAUUGGGACUGAGAUACGGCCCAGACUCCUACGGGAGGCAGCAGUCGGGAAGAUUGCGCAAUGGAGGAAACUCUGACGCAGUGACGCCGCGUAUAGGAAGAAGGUUUUCGGAUUGUAAACUAUUGUCGUUAGGGAAGAGAAAGGACAGUACCUAAGGAGGAAGCUCCGGCUAACUACGUG
rnacentral:rRNA from 1 species